UCCGCGGCAGAUAGCAGUCGCUAGCACACCACGCUUCUCGCCGCCGCUCGGGGAAACACGAGCGGAGAGUUUUCGGCCGGCUCGACCGCGGGAAAAGGGAGGAAAUCCUGGCGAACGUGGCGCGGCACGCGUGCCAUCUCGGGGCAGGAAACAAGAGCGCGGCGCUCUCCUGUCCGUCGCGGCCGCGGCCGCGGCGCAGCGCGUCGCGAGCGGAUUCGGCGAGCGGGAGGGUCGCGAGAGGACGCGAUGCGACGAGCGAGAGGAGACCGCGAGUGCCGGACCACGACCGCUGCCACGACCACGACCACGGCCGCGCGACCUGCUGCACCACCCCGGAGCGGAGAGGAGCGGCGAGACGCGGUUCCGCGUUUCGUGCGGUUCCGGUCACGUCGGUCACGUGGUCGCCGAUCUCUCCUGCCCCCCCACCUCCGCCACCGACGGAUCCCCUAGGUGAGCUUUCCCACCGGGAACGGGGGAGGGAGUGUCAACGGCAGGUCGACGGGUGGGGGCGGGAUCGUGACGAGGAGAGGCGGGAAGAGUGAGACGGAAACAACGAGGAGUCAAGCGAACCACCGGCGAAAGAGGAACGAGGAAGGAAAAGAGGAGGCGGAGGCGGACGUAUGACGACGAGGAGGAUAUCGAGGCUCGACGGUCACGACCACGUGGGGCUUCCUAGACGAAGGCGAAGCUUCCGAAACCGACGAUGAACGAAACGGAGGAACGAUCCCGGAUUUUGGUGGUGGAAAGACCGCGGAGAAAUUCACUGAUCGCUCCCCGACCGCGGAGCCGAUAGGGGAUGACCACGGAGGGUCAUUCUGUCGGGACGAGGAGGAGUCAACGUGGACGGCGGAGGCUGGAACGUAGGAAAGGGAGCCGUGGAAGCUGGUGAAUAAUCGACGAGCCGGCGGGAA